UUAAACCAAACCCUAGCUGUCCACUGGGGUGUUCAUGGAUGUCUAAGUCAAAUCCUUAAAAGCUUUAAGUGGAAAGUAUAUGCUGAGGCAGCUGUCUUGGGAAAGACAGAACACAUUCUGUUUGUUCUUAUCUCUGGAGGGUUCAGUUCCAGUGCUCCAGGCAAAAAAAAAAAAUAAUAAAAUAAAAAAAAAUCCUGAAGAUAAUGACUUCUCUGCAAGCAGGAUGAAAAUCCCCCUGCUCCGGGGUUUGAAACGCAAUCUCUGAACCUCACACGCCAGCAUUGGGGGCUCCAGCUGCUGGGUGGUGUCCAGUCUCAGGGAAACACUCAACAAAACAAAUAUUAUCUGGAGCAACUUUAUCUCGUUGUCCUGCUGGGCACAUGGUGGAGACGCGAGAGGAAGAGUGCAGCUGUGGACUGCAGAGUCGGCUGUGUGCUCCCCCGCAGUCAGCAUGUAGGGUGUUCCGGUUCCCACGCGCAGAAGCUGUGUGGCUGAUUUGCGGAGAGGCAGAACACGACCCAAAGUGCUCCUCGUGAAAAUGACACUGAAUAGAAUGUGGUCUUUGUUGAAUUGGGGUGCUCUUUAUAAACACUCAGUAUCCUAAUCAAGGAGUCUGUGAUGGGAACGCCAGUUGUACCGGUGUUACGGGACACCGAUUACACGGUUUUGAGGAAAAGGAAACCAAACCUGGACGUUCUAGAUGCAGUUGGCAAAAUAAGAGAUUGCAUCGAAUCAAUGCACCAGCUAGGGCAGCUGCAUUGCCACUCAGAGGCCAUCGACAGGAAGUGCGUUCUUAAACUCACUUUCCAAGUGACAGGACACAGCUCAGCAAAUGCACCAUGGUGAGACUCCUGGCUUUCCUUUAAUGGGGAUAAACCACCGUGGAGAGGGAAAGUGCCCAGUGGUCUGCCUGAGCCUGCUUGAUGCUGAGACCAGAUAAGCCAUAAAUUGCACAAGCCUUAUCCCAAGUGGAUUGGAAUGAUGGAGAGUCACACUGUGAGCUGGCGCCAGCUUCUGUUCCCGAUCACGAAGCAGCAAGCGAAGGGACAUACGGGAAGGAGGCUAUCCAGCUGGCAGAUCUGGGACACUCCCCACGUGAAGGGGGAGGUAGACAGAGCCGGGCUGGCCUGAGCAGGGACAGUCAUUGUCAUGGUCAGUCUGAGUCAGCAGCUCUUGAUCUUGCUCAAGGUACAACAGCAUCACUUGGGUUACUUGUAAAAAUGCAGAUACCUUGGCUUCAGCUCCAAAAAUCAUGAUUUCUUUCCAAUAGAGACAAUCUCGGGAAUUCUGAGCAAGCAGCCUAGCGUCAGAAACAUUGUGAAGGGAAAUGGGCUACGUGCCAAGAGAAAGUGUCCAGGAGGAGGAGAAUAAUAAGCAGAGUGGGGCAGUGAAAAGUCAGAAACAAAGCAAAUUCUUUGGACGCCCGCUUAGACCCGGAUCUCAGCCACAUUCCCACUGAACCCGCAUGAGCAUCUGUCCCUCGUGCGUAAAAUAGGAGGAACUAACAAGGAUAACGACAGGCCCUGUGCAAUGACCCCUUACUUAGCACGGGGUGAUGGGUCUUAAAGGCUUUCCUCUAUACAUCUCAGCACAUUGUAAGGAUAGGGUAGCAUUAUCCCCAUUUUAAAGGUGAGAACACCAAGGCACAGGUUGAGCUUAUAACUUUAGAAGACGUCCUCAGUACUAACAAAUGUUGGAGCUGGAACUCGAGCCAGGAAGUCAGAGCUGAAGGAAGACAGUGAGAAAAUGACCAGGAAACUUCUCACUGCUGCCUGACUCAGAGGGGCUCGGGGGCUGACCUUCCUUCGGGGUUGCUGGAGCUGACCACCUGGCUGUGCGCAGGCUGCUGCGGAACUCAGCCGUGAACGCUGAAGGGUCGCAACAGAUGGUGGAGGAGAGGACUGGAUUUGAACACACAUCUUGGAGGCUCUGUUUCCCCAACUCUAAAAUGUGAGGGGGCUGGUGCUGUGGUGUAGCGGGUAAAGCAGCUGCCUGAAGUGCUGGCAUCCCAUAUGGGCGCCGGUUCGAGUCCCAGCUGCUCCACUUCCAGUCCAGCUCUCUGCUAUGGCCUGGGAAAGCAGUAGAAUAGAAGAUGGCCCAAGUCCUUCAGCCCCUGCACCCGCGUGGGAGACCUGGAAGAAGCUCCCAGCUCCUGGCUUCGGGUUGGCUCAGCUCUGGCUGUUGUGGCCGAUUGGAGAGUGAACCAGCGGAUGGAAGACCUCUUUCUCUCUCUGCCUCUCAUCUCUGUGUAUAACUUGACUUUCAGAUAAAUAAAUAAAUCUUUAAAAAAAAUUAAAUGCGAGCAGUAGCCUCCUUACUGCCCAGUGAGUGGCAUUCCAAUGAGAUAAUGCCUGUGAAAAGUAUUUUGUGAACUUGACAUUCUGUACAUAAAUCUGUGGUUAUUGGGAAGACAUAUAUGGCUCCAAAAUGGAGCCAAAACCAUCUUAUUCCAAUGGCCAAUGAUUUCCCUUUGAGUAAAUAAAAAGUUGACCUAAUGUAUUUUCAGAUAGUGGCUUAGUCUGCCUUUCCUAACAGGUCUUGUUCUCUGGUGGGUGAAGGUGGGAGAUUAGGAGAGUGCUAAGGCUGCUUGUUUGAGAAACAGGAGGGUUUCAUCCUAAUGAGGCCAAGAGGCGCUGGCAUGCAGGUCAUCCCACAGCAUUCUGGAACAUUCCAUGUAUUCCAAAAGGUGAGGAACUUGACCCCCACAGGCCAAGAUUCGAGAUCUCAGAAGAGAGACCCCACUUUGAUAUCUGGUCCUUGCAGUGGUGAGCACAGUCCAUCCUCUAAGCUGAGAAAGUGUUGUUUAUGUUUUUUGUACCAUCUGUGGUUCAGACAUAGCUGGUGUUUUGUAUUUGCCACUGACGGUUUUUCUGAGCUCUGUUUGCAGUCGCGGUGAUGCAAAAGCAAGAACCUCCUUUUGGGAAAGUCAACCCAGACCCACAGAGAGAAACAUGACAAGCGCCACAGUUUCUAGACUGGACAAUAAAAGCAAACCAGAAAAACAAUCGCUCCACGUUACUGUCUCCUUUUCAAGGGGUCUCCUCAUCAUGGUUCUUAAGGAAACUCAGCCACCAGGGAGAAACAGUAAUUUGUCCAUAUAGAGAACUUGCGAAAGAAAAAACUUUCUGGUGAGUCAGCACCCUCCGCCCAUGGAGAAGCUCCAUGCCCUUCCUCCUGGAAGGAGGAAGACCACUUUCUACUGGGAAAGGUAGACGAGAGACUUGGGAAGAGCCCAGUUUUGCUUUUCUUUCUUAAGGAAACAUUUUUGCUACUUUCCUCUGGCAACAGAUCAAACUCACUUUUCUUACCUGUACCUCAUCAGCCGAGAUGCUCUGCAUUAGUCUUCCCUUUCCAGUAGCCCAGACUUCGGGUUGAAUUCACUUACAUGGAACUGAAUCCAAUCCCUCUCAUUCUAUUCUAUUCCCUUCAAUUCUGUUGCAGGAACUGUUGUGGGUCUGGGAACUAAAUAGGGACUGGGAGACAGAACUGGAUGAAGCAAGAUUAUACUUCUGGUCUUCUGAAGCCAGAAUGAAAAUGGGAAUCAUUGACCAAUGGCUGCUCUUUGGGAUAGGGUGAGAUCUGAGAAGACAAAAAGGCCAAAAAGAAUGAGGAUCAAAAUAAAUAUUUGGAAUUUGGAAGUCAGGCUAAAGGAAUCAAAGCAAGAGGGUGUCAAGAUUUAUCUCUGUGCAGACUGUCUGGGUGCA